CUGAUAAAAGGGCUGGGAGCCGCGUAGAGGGAGUCUCACUCCAGUGGUGGAGUGCGAAGGACCUGGCUGCUAGCUAGAGAAGUGUAUCUCAAACAGAGCCGUGCUGGAGAAGGGCAGGCAGAGCUAGGGAACACUGGCCAGUUGAGACCCCAAGGUCUGUGGGGGUACUGAGGCUGCAGUGGUGCAGCCAGGCCAGGAAAAGGCAGCAGGUCCAAACCCCCUUGCCCAUGAUGAGUGGCCAUUUCAGCCUACAAUUUGCCCCUGAGAAAAGGAGCUAGAUGAAGACUGGCAGUCGGUCUCUGAGGCAAGGUUGUGGUAACCUGUAUCUGAACUGUUUAAUGGAUGAAUUAUCCUGUGCUAAUUACCAUGAUGUUUAGGAGAAGGGAAGUUAAGCCUAUUGUUUUCUCAGGCCAAGAGGCUGCUGGAAAUGUAUAAAAACCCUGGGACAGGAUCCUUCUUCAUCUCAGAUCUGCUUUGGGUUUCAAGAAGGGGAAACCUUAAACCAUAAGGAUUGAGAUGCCCAGUCACUGACUGGAGUCACCCUGAAGAUGGACACUGGACUAUAACCUAUAGACUAUUUCCAAAAGGACUUCUGGCAACUACAAGCUCAUCUCUGCUCUGUAUCUGAAUCGCAAGAAUUGAAUUCAAGUCUGUAGGUAUAUUGAUCUCUUAACCAACACUCUCUCUUUUCUUUUUUAAUAAAUUUUAGUUGAGAAUUGA